ensembl:lncRNA novel transcript
AGUGUGCGUGCUGAGGCUGGAGAGAAGGAUAAGAGGUGGUCCUGCCCUCGGGGCUUGCAGUCGGCUGGGAUGAUAAGUCCUGCAGAAAUUUAGUGGCCGAGCUGCCACUAGAGCUCAGGUCUCUCUCUGGACUCCCAGACCAGGGCUUAUCCUGUUAUAUUGUGGCCUCUUCUAUUCUAUCGCCACAGUCACACGGGGGCUGGAGUGCAGUGGCGUGAUUGCUGCUAACUGCGGCCUCCACCUCUUGGGCUCAAAUGAUCCUCCCACUCCAGCCUCCCCAAGUAGCUGGGACAACAGGAUGGUUGACAGGCUAUUUGGAACAAUCUUCCUACUGAAAGAAACUAAAAAAUAUGAGUAAGACGUGUCUUGAUGAAAGCAUUAAAGAAAUAUUAAGACACCAAGAAACCACCACAUCAAAAAUGAAGGGAACAUUCGUUCAGAGAACCCUCAGGUUGAGGCCCUUCCUGGCAAAGCUGCCCUAGGCCCAGAUGUCACAUAUGCAUGACAACGUCCGGGGACCAUUUGCCCCAGCAGAUUCCCUUUCAUUUCUGAUUGGCCGGCAAGUGGCUGAGGAUCGUCUUACUCGCACCCUGGUGCUGGGCGCUGACCACCUCCCGAAGCACUUGGCCAGGGGGAGAGGAUGCUGGACACAAUCAGGUUCUCCUGGGGGGAGGAGGGAGGGAAUGGCUGCUGGAAGGGUUCUACCGGGGACUCCUACAGCAGCUUGUUAGAUCUCCUUCCUCCCAAUUCCCUGAAGUUGGUGGAACAGGAAGAGGACGAGAAGUCAUGUUUGUAUGUUGUCCCCUUGGAAUCUCUCAAAAAUCCGCAAUAUCCCGAUUUGAGAAAUGAGCAUCACAGAGAAAGCAAAGCGGUAGUUGGAAGCUGCCAAGCUUGUGAGCAACGAGACGGAAUCCACGCCCAGGGCUUUCUAACGGCGGGGCCACGCCCUCCACACUCCACCUCGGCCCUCUGCCCUGCGAUGGUGCAGAGACAGGGUGUGGUCAAGGGGCCUAGGGUGAGGGUCCUGCCAGUACUUUACAGGAAACUCCCCCUCUUUUAGCCUCAUUUGUCAAAGAAAGGGCUUAGACACUAAAAUCUUUUAAGUUUCCUUCUAGCUCAAUCUCUCUUUGAUUUAAUACCUUCUAAAAGAGAUUUGGGGCCCCAGAAAAAAAGAAAGCAAGAAAGCAACUGGCACUUCUGUGGUUGACUCAGCACAGAGGCCUGGACAGGCAUCAGGAGGCUGGGCUCCUCCUAUUUUGGGCCUCGUGAGUUCAUCCUGAGGCCUGUGCCAGUCCCUGCGGUUUCUCAUCUCUCCAUCCUGGUCUGUAUGACAAAAUGGCUAAAAAUACCGGGCUCCCCGCGGGCCCGCCACCCGGCUAACACCCUCCCUUGAAUCAGCUCAUUUUUUAGUCUUGGGUAUGCUGCAGAUGAGAGUCCAGGACAAGCCACCUUCGGAAGCUCUGACUCCCAGGAACCCCGCUUGGGUUGGUCCUUGUGCUCUGGUGGAAGAAGCUUGGGCGCUGUCCACUUCCUAGGCAGACUAUUCCCAUCAUAGACACAGUGACCCUUUUAAAGCUCAGACUCUGCAAUAACGGCUGCCCAUCUCACUCACAGAGAAGGAACAGGACCAGGAGGGCCUAGUGAUGGAAGGACCAACACAUGGUUGGAUGACAGACCCUGAAGGGCCCUUGUGGAGGGGCUCCAUGGGAGUUGGCUGUGAAACCACCCAGGCUGAGGCUCCCCUGUGGGCUUGAGUCAUGCCCGGCCAAAGCUUGCAAAGUGGAGGCUGUGUCGCAUUUUCUGUUUUCCCCAUGCCUGACAUCCAGUGGGCACUAAUAAAUGUUUAACGAGU